rnacentral:rRNA from 1 species
GAUUAUGGCUCAGGAUGAACGCUGGCGGCGUGCUUAACACAUGCAAGUCGAACGAAGCACCUUGAUUUGAUUCUUCGGAUGAAGAUCUUGGUGACUGAGUGGCGGACGGGUGAGUAACGCGUGGGUAACCUGCCUCAUACAGGGGGAUAACAGUUAGAAAUGACUGCUAAUACCGCAUAAGACCACAGCACCGCAUGGUGCAGGGGUAAAAACUCUGGUGGUAUGAGAUGGACCCG